rnacentral:rRNA from 1 species
UGGGGAAUAUUGGGCAAUGGGGGGAACCCUGACCCAGCAACGCCGCGUGAGGGAAGAAGGUUUUCGGAUCGUAAACCUCUGUCCUUGGUGAAGAGGAGAAGACGGUAGCCAAGGAGGAAGCCCCGGCUAACUACGUGCC